GACAUAAUGCAACUAGCACAAUCUAAUAAUCACCACCACCAAGUAGCGAAGUUCCUGAUUCCACACUGCCAAGAAAAGCCUCUAGCGAGGUGAGAGGUGCCGUACCGCAAACCGACACAGGUAGGCGAGGAGAGAAUCCUAAGGUGAUCGAGAGAACUCCCGUUAAGGAACUCGGCAAAAUGACCCCGUAACUUCGGGAGAAGGGGUGCUCUGUUAGGGUGCAAGCCCGAGAGAGCCGCAGUGAAUAGGCCCAGGCGACUGUUUAGCAAAAACACAGGUCUCUGCGAAGCCGUAAGGCGAAGUAUAGGGGCUGACGCCUGCCCGGUGCUGGAAGGUUAAGAGGAGCGCUUAGCGUAAGCGAAGGUGCGAAUUGAAGCCCCAGUAAACGGCGGCCGUAACGAUAACGGUCCUAAGGUAGCGAAAUUCCUUGUCGGGUAAGUUCCGACCCGCACGAAAGGCGCAACGAUCUGGGCACUGUCUCAACGAGAGACUCGGUGAAAUUAUAGUACCUGUGAAGAUGCAGGUUACCCGCGACAGGACGGAAAGACCCCGUGGAGCUUUACUGCAGCCUGAUAUUGAAUGUUGGUACAGCUUGUACAGGAUAGGUAGGAGCCUUGGAAACCGGAGCGCCAGCUUCGGUGGAGGCAUCGGUGGGAUACUACCCUGGCUGUAUUGACCUUCUAACCCGCCGCCCUUAUCGGGCGGGGAGACAGUGUCAGGUGGGCAGUUUGACUGGGGCGGUCGCCUCCUAAAAGGUAACGGAGGCGCCCAAAGGUUCCCUCAGAAUGGUUGGAAAUCAUUCGCAGAGUGUAAAGGCACAAGGGAGCUUGACUGCGAGACCUACAAGUCGAGCAGGGACGAAAGUCGGGCUUAGUGAUCCGGUGGUUCCGCAUGGAAGGGCCAUCGCUCAACGGAUAAAAGCUACCCCGGGGAUAACAGGCUUAUCUCCCCCAAGAGUCCACAUCGACGGGGAGGUUUGGCACCUCGAUGUCGGCUCAUCGCAUCCUGGGGCUGUAGUCGGUCCCAAGGGUUGGGCUGUUCGCCCAUUAAAGCGGUACGCGAGCUGGGUUCAGAACGUCGUGAGACAGUUCGGUCCCUAUCCGUCGCGGGCGCAGGAAAUUUGAGAGGAGCUGUCCUUAGUACGAGAGGACCGGGAUGGACGCACCGCUGGUGUACCAGUUGUUCUGCCAAGGGCAUCGCUGGGUAGCUAUGUGCGGACGGGAUAAGUGCUGAAAGCAUCUAAGCAUGAAGCCCCCCUCAAGAUGAGAUUUCCCAUUCCGCAAGGAAGUAAGAUCCCUGAAAGAUGAUCAGGUUGAUAGGUCUGAGGUGGAAGUGUGGCGACACAUGGAGCUGACAGAUACUAAUCGAUCGAGGACUUAACC
rnacentral:rRNA from 1 species